rnacentral:sRNA from 1 species
CUUGGUCAUUUAGAGGAAGUAAAAGUCGUAACAAGGUUUCCGUAGGUGAACCUGCGGAAGGAUCAUUACUAUUCAGCCGUCUGCUGCCCGUGUGGCGUAGGCUGGCAGAAACCGACACCUCUCCGCCCCGCCCCCCUCCCAGGGGAAAGGGUGUGACUGUGUUAAACCCUUUGUGAACCUUCUCUUUUGCUUCGGCAGCACGUACUGCGGGUAACCGCAGGACGGUAGGGCUGUCAGAAGCCUCUUAUUAAACCAGUUGAUUGAAGUCAUGCUGUCUGAGAACUUAUGAAUUUUAAAUCAUAUUAAAACUUUCAGCAACGGAUCUCUUGGUUCUCGCAUCGAUGAAGAACGCAGCGAAACGCGAUAGGUAAUGUGAAUUGCAGAAUUCCGUGAAUCAUCGAAUCUUUGAACGCACAUUGCGCCUUCUGGUAUUCCGGGAGGCAUGUCUGUUUGAGCGUCAGCAAAACCCUCGGUCUAACGGUUUGUUAACAAGCCGACUGACCGGUAAUGGGCUUUGGGAGCGGGCCUUCCGGUCUCUCCCUGCCUUAAACCUGCUGCACGACCGCAAGCAAUUGCAACGGUUAAUGGAGUGGUGUUACAUAUCUUCCAUACAAGCCUUAGCUACCGCUUCAGCGGCGUUAAACCUAUGUUGCUUAACCGCGACCGAACGUUUGACCUCAGAUCAGAUAAGGAUACCCGCUGAACUUAAGCAUAUCAAUAAGCGGAGGAAAAGAAACCAACAGGGAUUGCCUCAGUAACGGCGAGUGAAGCGGCAAGUGCUCAGAUUUGAAAUCUGGUAUGCUUUGCGUACCCGAGUUGUAAUCUGGAGAGAAGUCUUCGGCCCAGGCACCGGUCCAGAUUCCUUGGAACAGGAUGACAUAGAGGGUGAGAACCCCGUAUCCGGCUGGCCGCCAAAGCCAUGUGAAGCUUCUUCGACGAGUCGAGUUGUUUGGGAAU